GGUGUUUUAUUGUUUAGUUAUAUAUUCUUGUCUUGUUUUGUUUUGUUUCCCUUUUAAGGCUCUAUCGUCGAAGAAGAAGACGAAGAUGGCGAGGAAGGAGAAUCGAAGAGCACAGAAGAUAAAAUCAAGCUUGAAGAAGACAAGAAAUCUCUGCAGGAUAACCACACAAUGAUGGCCGAGGAAAAGGAGAAACUCAUGGGUGAAAUUCAGAAGAGGGCGCAGCUGUUGAAAAAGCAACAAGAAGCACAAUCUGCUUUAAAAUCAAAAAUCAAGAUGAUGGAAAGCAAAUUACUGGUUGGAGGGAAGAGCAUUAUCGACAAAACGUCUGAA